rnacentral:rRNA from 1 species
UACGGAGGGUGCAAGCGUUUAUCCGGAUUUACUGGGUUUAAAGGGUGCGUAGGUGGGUAAGUAAGUCAGUGGUGAAAUCUUCGAGCUUAACUCGGAAACUGCCAUUGAUACUAUUUAUCUUGAAUACUUUGGAGGUAAGCGGAAUAUGUCAUGUAGCGGUGAAAUGCUUAGAUAUGACAUAGAACACCAAUUGCGAAGGCAGCUUACUACACAGUUAUUGACACUGAGGCACGAAAGCGUGGGGAUCAAACAGG